rnacentral:rRNA from 1 species
CAUUUGUUCUCUAAAUAAGGACUUGUAUGAAUGGCCACACGAGGGUUUUACUGUCUCUUACUUCCAAUCAGUGAAAUUGACCUCCCCGUGAAGAGGCGGGGAUAAAUCAACAAGACGAGAAGACCCUAUGGAGCUUUAACUAACUAAUCCAAGGAAAAUAAAUUUAAUCACCAAGAGAUAACAACACUCCUCAUGGAUUAGCAGUUUCGGUUGGGGUGACCUCGGAGAACAGAAAAUCCUCCGAGCGAUUUUAAAGACUAGACCAACAAGUCAAACCAAACCAUCGCUUAUUGAUCCAAAAACUUGAUCAACGGAACAAGUUACCCUAGGGAUAACAGCGCA